rnacentral:rRNA from 1 species
AGAGUUUGAUCCUGGCUCAGGAUGAACGUUGGCGGUGUGCCUAAUACAUGCAAGUCGAACGGUGACGAUUUUGUAGCAAUACGAAUGAAAUCAUAGUGGCGAACGGGUGAGUAACGCGUUGGUGAUCUGCCUCGAAGUGUGGAAUAACUUCCCGAAAGGGUAGCUAAUACCGCAUAGUCUCUCAAGGUUUAGAAAAUUGAGAGUAAAGGAUUUAUUCGCUUCGAGAGGAGCCUGCGUCCCAUCAGCUAGUUGGUAGGGUAAUAGCCUACCAAGGCAAUGACGGGUAGGGGACCUGAGAGGGUGGCCCCCCACAAUGGAACUGAAACACGGUCCAUACACCUACGGGUGGCAGCAGUAGGGAAUAUUAGAAAUGGGCGAAAGCCUGAUCUAGCAACACCGCGUGUGCGAUGAAGGCCUUCGGGUUGUAAAGCACUUUUUGGAGGGAAUAGGAAGGAAGGUACCUCCAGAAUAAGUCUCGGCUAACUACGUGCCAGCAGCCGCGGUAACACGUAGGAGGCAAACGUUAUCCGGAUUCACUGGGCGUAAAGCGCGUGUAGGUGGUUCUGUAAGUAGGGCGUGAAAGCUCCCGGCUCAACUGGGAGAGGCCGUACUAAACUGCAGAGCUAGAGGAUGGUAGAGGGAGGUGGAAUUCCAGGUGUAGUGGUGAAAUGCGCAGAUAUCUGGAGGAACACCAGUGGCGAAGGCGCGCCUCCUGGACCAUUCCUGACACUCAGACGCGAAAGCUAGGGUAGCAAACGGAAUUAGAGACUCCGGUAGUCCUAGCCCUAAACGAUGCAGACUAGGCGUCGGCGGUUUAAUCACCGUCGGUGUCCAAGCUAACGCGAUAAGUCUGCCGCCUGAGGACUACGGCCGCAAGGCUAAAACUCAAAGGAAUUGACGGGUCCCCGCACAAGCAGCGGAGCGUGUGGUUUAAUUUGAUGCUCCGCGAAGAACCUUACCUGGUCUUGACAUCUGCAGAACUUUCCAGAGAUGGAUUGGUGCCUUCGGGAACUGCAAGACAGGUGCUGCAUGGCUGUCGUCAGCUCGUGUCGUGAGAUGUUCGGUUAAGUCCGGCAACGAGCGCAACCCUUGUCCUUAUUUGCCAGCACGUAAUGGUGGGAACUCUAAGGAGACUGCCGGUGAUAAACCGGAGGAAGGUAGGGAGGACGUCAAGUCAUCAUGGCCCUUAUGACCAGGGCUACACACGUACUACAAUGGCGAUUACAGAGGGAGGGGAGACCGCGAGGUGGAGCAAAUCCCUAAAAGUCGCCCCAGUUCAGAUUGCAGGCUGCAACUCGCCUGCAUGAAGUAGGAAUUGCUAGUAAUGGCAGGUCAGCAUACUGCCGUGAAUACGUUCCCGGGCCUUGUACUCACCGCCCGUCA